rnacentral:snRNA from 1 species
GUGCUCAUAUUGGCAGCACAUACUAAAAUUGGAAGGAUAAAGAGAUUAGCAUGGCCCCUGUAUAAAAAUAAUGCUUUGUACAGAGCCCACCAGAAAAAUGUG